AAGAUGCAACGCGACCUCCUUCCCACAGCAACGAAAGACUGCGACUCCCCGGACUAUCAGGCCGGGAGAGUCCACUUCCAGCUCACCUCGGAGCUCCGGGAGCCUUUCAGCACCUGCUUGGUGAGCGCGAUUACGUCAGUACCACAGGUGGUCACCUUCUCCGUGAGAAGCCCCUUCACGGACUGACCGAACCGCGCUUGAGACUCUGGCGUUCCAGUCGCCAUCAUUUCAGUUAGCGAACGGUUGCGCACUGACGAUGGUGAGUCGCCGGGGCCAAAAGACAAGCAAAGCGGAAGGAAAAGAGGCGUCUCUUCCUCCAUGGGAAAAGGAAGGGACGCAUGCGCCUGAUGGAGGUUGACCUUUGCUCACUAAACUCAUGAACUAUUCAUUGAUAUCCUGAGGAAAACAGGGUCCAGGCAAACAUCUCUGGAGGGGAUGGAGGACAGUUUCAUUGACUCUAUGGUUCAGAAUCGGAAAGCCUGCGGCAGGGCAUGGCGGCGCACGCCUGAAAUCCCAGCCCUUUGGGAGACCCAGGCAGGAGGAUCACCUGAGCCUGAGAGUUCCAGACCACCCUGGGCAACAUAGCGAAACUCCAUCUCUUUAAAAAUAAAAUAAAAUUAAAAUUAAUACAAAUAAUUAAAAAGAAUCAGAAGGCCCGGAUUACAGUCCCAAUGCUACCAUUUAGCAGUGUGUGGCUGCAAAUUACUCAGCUUCUGUCUUAUAUUCCUCAUCUGUUAAACAGAAGUAAUAAUGUUUCCAAGGGGUUAUGAGAAUAUCAUUCCAUUCAUAUAUAUAUACACAUAUAUAUAUAUACACAUAUAUAUACACAUAUAUACACAUAUAUACAUAUAUAUACAUAUAUAUACACAUAUAUAUAUACAUAUAUAUUUUUUUUUCCCCAGAGUCUUGUUCUGUUGCCUAGGCCUUUUUUUGAUUAAUUGAGACAAGGGGCCAGGCGUGGUGGCUCACGCCUGUAAUCCCAACACUUUGAAAGGCCAAGGUGGAUCACUUGAGGUCAGGAGUUCAAGGCCAACCUAUCCAUAUGGUGACACACCUGUAGUCCCAGCACUUUGGGAGGCCGAGGCAGAAGGGUCACUCAAGGCCAGGAGUUCAGUAUCAGCAGCCUGGGCAACAUAGCGAUAACUUGUCUCAUUUUAUUUAAUUUUAUUUUAUUUUAUUUUUUUUUUGAGAUGGAGUCUCGCUUUGUUGCCCAGGCUGGAGUGCAGUGGCUCGAUCUCAGCUCACUGCAACAUCCGCCUCCUGAGUUCAAGUGAUUCUCCUGCCUCAGCCUCCCAAGUAGCUGGGAUUACAGGUGCUUGCCACCAGGCCCGGCUAAUUUUUGUAUUUUUAGUAGAGAUAGGGUUUCACCAUGUUGGCCAGGCUGGUCUCAAAUUCCUGACAUCUAAUGAUCCACCAGCCUUGGCCUUCCAAAAUGGUGGGAUUACAGGCGUGAGCCACUGCACCUGGCCUCAUUCCAUUCAAUUUUAACAAACAUUUCAUGAACUAAAUACCAGACACUGUACUAGGCUGGGGAUAGAGAAAGAAAUGAAAUACAGUUCUUGUCUCUGUGGAACUCCCAGGCUGAUGAGGCAGAUAGGCCUGUAAACAAAUGAAGAAGGAAAAACAAUCUAAUAGAAAAAUUGGCAAAAGGCACAAGUAGGCAAUUCAAAAAAAAAAAUCAACUGGCUGAUAAAUGUGAAAAAUGCUCAACAUCACUAGUAAUUUUUAUUGAUAACCUCUUUAUUGUAUUAAUACCAAACUGAUGGUAACCACCUUGUAAGUGAAUUAAUAUGUAAAAUAUUUCAAGUAGGCCAGGUGCCGUGGCUCACGCCUGUAAUCCCAGCACUUUGGGAAGUUGAGGCGGGAGGAUCACCUGAGGUCAGGAGUUCGAGACCAGCCUGCCCAACAUGGUGGAACCCCGUCUCUACUAAAAAUACAAAAAUUAGCCGGGCGUGGUGGUGGGCACCUGUAGUCCCAGCUACUCUGGAGGCUGAGGCAGGAGAAUUUCUUGAACCCGGGAGGCAGAGGUUGCAGUGAGCCGAGAUCAUGCCACUGUAUUCCAGCCUAGGCGACAGAGUGAGACUCUGUCUCAAAAAAAAAAUAAAAUAUUUCAAGUAGCUCCAUUUCUUUUUUAGUUAAUAAAAGAUGUGAGAAUGUUAUUGUAUUGAAAAUUUUGUUCAAAAUUACCUGUAUUCAAUAUCAACAUUACUUCCUCUUCCAAGUGUCUAGAUUCAUAUGUCUCCGUUGAAUCUCAUUUACUGUUUACUUUUUGUCCUUAAUAAACUUUAUUGAGUUUA
rnacentral:lncRNA from 1 species